ACACAGGCAGUUUAGUGGUUUGGACAACAUAUAUUGUGCCUUUAUGGGUAAUCUGCAUAACCUUAGUAAAUUGAACAAACAAUAUGGGCUAUCAAAGGGAAGCAAUGAGGCCAUGUUUAUAAUCGAGGCAUAUCGGACACUUCGCGACAGGGGUCCAUACCCUGCUGAUCAAGUCCUUAAAGAACUUGAAGGAAGUUUUGGAUUUGUGAUCUAUGACAAUAAGGAUGGAACAGUUUUUGCUGCAUCUGUGAGUCAAUUUCUUAAUUAGUCUCUUAAUCUAGAAAAAAAAUCACUUUUUUUGGACUAAUUAGUUAACAAUUAUGUUGUUUGUGUUUGAUUAGGGUUCUGAUGGCAAUAUUGGACUCUACUGGGGUAUUGCAGCUGAUGGAUCAGUUGUUAUUUCUGAAAAUUUGGAGCUUGUAAAAGCAAGUUGUGCUAAAUCAUUUGCACCAUUCCCAGCUGGUAUGUAAAUUUGGUUUGAUUUUACCUUCACACGGGUUCGAACUCAGAACCUCGUAGUUGUGUGUGUGAAUUUAAGUGGUAGUUAUCACUUUUUUAACUUAAAAAAAGUGAAAAUUUAUCUAGGGACUAAUAGAAUUUAAUGUAUAAAUGGUGUUGAAAUUUCAGGGUGUCUGUUUCAUAGUGAGCAUGGUUUAUUGAACUUUGAACANNNNNNNNNNNNNNNNNNNNNNNNNNNNNNNNNNNNNNNNNAAUCAAGGAAUCAAAUGAUGCCACGUGUUGGAAGUGAAGCUAAUUGGUCUACUUGGGGAUAGACAUGACAAAUUUCAUUUCAUCAUCUUAUCAUAAUUACUAAUAAUCUAAAUUUCUUUUUUGUUUGCCAAGAGCAACUUAAUAUAUAAUCGGAGUAGCUUCUUUGUCUUUAGCCCUUUUGGGACUGUUGACUGUGUUUUGUUCAUAUUUGUGCUAUGAUGUUGAGCAUGACUCUUAAAUUUCAACAUGAAUAAUAGUAAUUUUUAGUGUUGAAAGUGACAGAUAGACAUGGUGAAGUAAUUGCAGUUGUUCCAACUGACCGAACUCUUUGCCUUCAUCUACUAUAUAUCAAACUAUAAUCUUUACUUUGUCCAGUUACAAAAAUAUCUUAUUAUUUAAAUAUAAAGUGUUCUCAUGAAAGAAAUUCUAACUUAACUUCCUUAUUUUUUUUUAAUUCUUUUACUAUUAAUGUUGCUGUCAAUGUGAGAGAUAACGACGAUAUUUUUAUUUGUUAAUAUUAUUUAGUAUUAUGAGAAGAUGAGCAAGAAAUUCCAUCUAGCUAUAAAAAUUUACAAAAUACAUUUUUAUAAAUAAUAUACAUGGAUAUUUAUAAAUACCUGUAAAUAUCUGAAACCCCGCUAAAUACUCGUUUACCAUAAAAAUAUUGAUAAGAAUAUGAGACAGACAUCAAUAUCAUGCAUUGAUUUUGAGUUUAAGGUUUGAGGUUUAUGGUUUGGAGGUUGAGACAUCGAUAUCAUGCAUUGAUUUUGAGUUUAAAGUUUGAGGUUUAUGGUUUAGGGCUAGGAGUUUGAGGUUUAGUGUUUUGGGUUUAAGAUUUAGUUUUUGGAGUUUAGAGUGUGGGGUUCUAGUUUUAGGGUUUGUAGUUUAAAAUUUGGGGUUUAAGGUUUAUGGUUUGGAAUAUGGGGUUUUGUUUUCAGGGUUUGGAUUUGGGGUUUUCUGUUCAGGGUUUGGAGUUUGGGGUUUGACAUUAAGGGUUUGGAGUUAAGAGUUUAGAUAUAUUGUUUGGGGUUUCGAGUGCAGGGUUUGAGAUUUGGGGUUUAAGACCUUUACCAUAAAAAUAGUUGUGUAAAUAUGAGAUAGACAUUGAUAUCGUCGAAAUCAUGCAUCGAUUUUAAGUUUGAGGUUUAAGGUUUGGAGUUUGAGGUUUAGUGUUUUGGGUUUAAGAUUCAGUUUUUAGUGUUUUGGGUUUAGAGUUUAGGGUUUGGAGUUUAGAGUUUGAGGUUUUAGGUUUGUAGUUUGAAAUUUGGGGUUUAAGGAUUAGGAUUUUGAAUUUGGGGUCUUGUAUUUAGGGUUUGGGUUUUGUGUUUUGGGUUUGGAGUUUGGGGUUUAUGGUUUGAAAUUAAGGGUUUGGAGUUCAGGUUUUAAAGUUUAUGGUUUAUAUAUAUAUAUAUAUAUGGUUUAGGGUUUUAAGUGCGGGGUUAAGAUUUGGGGUUUAGGGUUUUCGGUAACCCUAAACCCUGAAGACAAAACCCUAAAUUCCAAAUCCAAAAGUCUAAACCCUAAACACAAAAUCCAAAAUUUCAAACCCCAAACUCAAACCCUAAACACAAAACCCCGAAUUCCAAAUCCCAGAUCCAAAACUCUAAAUCCUAAACACAAAACCCCAAAUUUCAAACCCUAAACACAAAAACCCCAAAUUCCAAACCGUAAAGCUUAAACCCCAAAUUUCAAACUACAAACCCUAAACCCAGAAUUUCAAACUAUAAACCCUAAACCCCACACUCUAAACUCAAAACCCUAAACUCUAAAACCUAAACACCAAAAACUACUAAACUCUAAACCUUUAACUCAAAAUUGAUGCAUGAUUUCAAUAAUAUCGAUCUGUGUCUCAUAUUCAUACGAAUAUUUUUAUGGUAAAAGUCUUAAACCCCAAACCCCAAAUUUUAAACCUCCGCACUCGAAACUACUUUAUUAUAGCCCAACAAAGCUAUUAAUUCAAGGUAUUUGUAAAGUCCCCACGCCUCCGUCGUUGUGAUGACAAGAGAAUGUAGCAACAAAGCUUCCUGACUCAUCUAUGAGACACCAUCUAUGUUACACUUCGGAUAUUCAGCCAACGGUGGUUACCGAUGAAGCCGUUGGUCUGACUGUGUUUUGUUGCUUAGUUGUUAGCAUAAUUUCAAUAAAAGUAAUUUUUAUUGGUUAAUUAGAAAUUGGGAAAAUAAAAUGCAAUUAUAAAAGUUAGUUGUUUUUUCUUAUAAUUUAGAAUAAGAAAAAGUGAUUUUUUUUUCUUAUAAUAUGAGACGGAAGAAGUACAUACAUUUUUCUCCAUUAUAACAUUUUGUAAUUUUUCAUAAUUUUCAAUUCUUAUAUAUCUAAAUUAAUAUUUUAAUCUAAAAGCCUUUUAUAUUUUACUAGCGUGCCNNNNNNNNNNNNNNNNNNNNNNNNNNNNNNNNNNNNNNNNNNGAGACGGAAGAAGUACAUACAUUUUUCUCAAUUAUAACAUUUUGUAAUUUUUCAUAAUUUUCAAUUCUUAUAUAUCUAAAUUAAUAUUUUAAUCUAAAAGCCUUUUAUAUUUUAUAUAUACGCACAACAUCCACGACACGCACCGAAGGUGCGCCCCGUGUGGCAGCACGGGUGUCCGACUAGUUAUUGAUUAUAUAGUAAAUACUAGUAUUUACUAACAUAAAUGAACUAGGUUAGGAGAAAAUCACAAGCAAACAUGGUUUAUAUCUGCACUCUAUUUGAACUUAAAUAUAACAACAAAAAUGUUAGAAUUUCUUAAAUAUCUAAAACGAAAUUCUAUCAAGAUACAGCAAACCGAAAUUGGAUUGAGACACAUACCUUAUGUCAACUCUUCUAAAUCUUUUAUAGUUUUAUUUUGAUGGUGUUAGUUUUCAUGAAAAGAGACUUCAUACUAUAUUAACAUUCCAAUUGUAGAACAUUAAAUAUUUAUUCCCUUUCAAAUUCAUUCUUCAAGCGGUGGUUCAAAUAUCAUUCUUUACAAUAGGUGCCACACUUGGUGUACAAUUUUCAUUUGAAAUUUCUUUAAAACCUGCCAAAAUUCUAUGAAAUGUCACUCAUAUCUUUCAUAUAAAAAACUUAGAGAGAAAUUAUUUUACCUCAUAUGAUAAACUCUAUAGCAAGUAAAAUGUCAUCUACAUAGAGAAUAAGGAAAUAAUUUACUCCCACUAUUCUUUUGAUAUAUAUAUUAAUCCAUAAUGUUCUCUAUAAAUCUAAAAAGAAGAUAUUACAUUAUAACAUUUCAAAUACAUCGAUGUGAAGCUUAUUUGACUCCAUAUAUGUAUUUUUUAUGUUUGCAUACCGAAUGCUCAUUGCCUUUAGAAGAAAAUCAUUCUAAUUGUUUCAUGUAAAUCUAUUAUACAUAUCUAUGUUUAGAAAUGCAGUUUUCACAUUCAUUUGAUGUAAUUCUAAGUCAAAACGAGCUAUAAUGUCAAAUGAUACGAAGAUAUUCCUUUAAGAUACAAGAAAAAUUUCUCCUUGUAAUCAAUUCUUUCCUUUAACUAGUUUGCUCUUAAAUUAGUAACGAUUACUAGUAGAACUUAUUUGGUUUUUGGUUUUGAAACAUUGAGAUAUUUUUAGGAAGACCAGUAACUGCAUUACUAUUAAUUUGAAACAUUAGGAGGAUUUAUUGAAAUUAAAAUUUUUUUAGAAUUCAUUGUAGUAACUACAUUACUAUUAAUUUGAAACAUUAGAAUUUAGGAAUACGUAAUUCAUCUUGGUUUUGAAACAUUGAGAUGGAAUUAGCUAUGACGUAAUUUUAGCUCAUUUUCAACAGAUGGAUGAUACACUAUUUUAUUUGUAAGUUUAGUUGUCACAACUAUUUUUAGUAAUUGUAUAAAAAAUGUUAGCCCCACUGAUAAUUUAUCUAGAUAUGCCCCUAUCAUGAAUAAAUGUCUUGCUUACCAAUCGUUAGUUAGUGUAGUGGUGAUUGACACUGAAUUUGACGUUGAUUAUUAACUAUUGGAUUUUUCUAUCAUGUGCAACUUUACACACGUUAAGAAAUUCAAAAUAAUAAAUUUAUAUUAGAACUUUUGUAUUUUAUAUUACAUGUAAAUCUUUGUCUUUUUUUUGGGUUCUCCCUCAACUAAUGUAAAAUUCUUUCUUCAACGAAAAUAAUAAAGUUAAAGUUAUAGAAUUUUAAUUUCAUUAGGGAGACUCUGAUAUGAAUUUCUAGUAUUUCCUAAAAUUGGAUCUUUUACAUAUUAACAUCUUUAAUUUUUAUCCCAAAUAAUAGAGUUACUCAUUCGAUCCAAAUAGUUUGAUACGGAUUGAACUUAACUCGAUNNNNNNNNNCAUGAAGCCCAACUUGCACAUGGAAAUCGGUAACAUAGUUAAAUAUAUUAAUGAUCAAUGUUGUGAAUUAACAAACUUGAAAUAUGUCAUUUGGGCGACCAAAUAUAUUAUACUUUUCCCAUGCUUGGCUUGAUUUUGAAUGUUGCUGAGUUGGAUUAUUGUCCUAUCAAGAUGGAUAAGAUUUUCCUUUUUUCUUCUUAGAUUUCUCCUAUUCUCAUUCUCAAUUCCGCGUCUACCGUUUACCUCUCCACUUCAUCGCAACCAUGACUAGAUUAUGAUGCUAUGCCACCCAUCUAGACUAAUUAAUUCUUUUUUUUGUUUAAUUCUAAUAAUUCGUUUCAAAAAAUUAUGUAUCAUCAUUAGACCAUUUUUAUACAUCUUUUUUUUUUUCUUUUUAAAUAUUUUAAUCGCAUUACACAUUACUAGUAGUAGUAUAGUAUGUAAUUGGAUAACAUGUGGGUUCAUAAAACAAGUGAAUUUUGAUAGACAAAAAGAACUAAUUGAAAAUAAUAUUUUUGCCAAGAUUCCUUUGCCACUUUGCUUUGUCUCUCCCAAAAUACUAUAGUAUAAAAGUUAAAAAUAUAUUAUCAGUUCUGAAUCUGACUUUAUACAAUAUUAUGAUAAAGAAAUGUUAUUUUUCAUUUUUAUGUACAAUUCCUUGUUUGGAUUGGAUAGGAUUUACACGUCACCACGUCACCUCUCUAACACACACCCUUUCUAUUUGCAUCUAUAUAUAUCUUACAUCGAUGCCUCAUUCUUCUCAUUCAUUAUCAUCUUUUCAAUAUACACCUUAUUCUUGGUAUGCUUCAUUUUCUUCUCUCUAUUUUUAUUUUUAUUUCUUCAUUUUCUUUUAAAAUUAGUGUUGUAAGUUAUUGCAUAUAUGUUUUUUUACAUGAUCAUUAUUCAUUGGUCAAAAUCUAAGAAAUUGUUCAUGUUUUUUGUGCAGCUAAGUGUUACUUAAACAAAGAUUUUGAGCUAACUAGAGGAAAAAAUGUUGGGAAUUUUCAAGGAAAAGUUGGUUAAUGCACCAAAGGAGCUUAAUAGUCCAGUUUCUAAUUCACACAUUAAGGCUAAACCAAGUCAUGAAAUUCUUAAAGAUUUCAUGUCAUGUAAUCCCUCCAAUGCAUUUUUCAUGACCUUUGGUAAUGAUGUUUUAAUUGCUUAUUCACCUUCAAACAAGCCCUCAAUUUAUCAAAGGUAUGAUACAAAUGCUUUAUAAAUUUUAUUUUAUUUUAUUUUCCUUUGAGAUAUAUAUAUAUCUUAGAUUAGAUAUAUCAAGACAUGUUUAUUGAGUAAUACUGCUAAUACAAAAAAUGUGUCAUGUGUAACACAGGCAGUUUAGUGGUUUGGACAACAUAUAUUGUGCUUUUAUGGGUAAUCUGCAUAACCUUAGUAAAUUGAACAAACAAUAUGGGUUAUCAAAGGGACGCAAUGAAGCCAUGUUUAUCAUUGAGGCGUAUCGGACGCUUCGCGACAGGGGUCCAUAUCCAGCUGAUCAAGUUCUUAAAGAACUUGAAGGAAGUUUUGGAUUUGUGAUCUAUGACAAUAAGGAUGGAACAGUUUUUGCUGCAUCUGU
rnacentral:lncRNA from 1 species